rnacentral:rRNA from 1 species
UUCCGGUUGAUCCUGCCGGACCCGACUGCUAUUUGGGUGAGGAUAAGCCAUGCGAGUUGAAUGGGAAACCUAAAAAUCCCAUGGCAAACUGCUCAGUAACACAUGGUCAACUUACCCUAUAGAGGAAAAUAACCUCGGGAAACUGAGGAUAAUGUUCCAUAGUUGAAUCGGCUUGGAAAAGUUUUUCAAUAAAAGGGAUAAGGGAAAUGGUUCUUAUCUGCUAUAGGAUAGGAUCGUGCUCGAUUAUGGUUGUUGGUGAGGUAAAGGCUCACCAAGCCGAUAAUCGAUAGGGGCCGUGAGAGCGGGAGCCCCGAGAUGGGUACUGAGACAACGACCCAGGCCUUACGAGGCGCAGCAGGCGCGAAACCUCCGCAAUACACGAAAGUGUGACGGGGUUACCCAAAGUGUUCAUUAGAACUGUGGUAGGUGAGUAAUGUUCCCUACUAGAAAGGAGAGGGCAAGGCUGGUGCCAGCCGCCGCGGUAAAACCAGCUCUUCAAGUGGUCGGGAUAAUUAUUGGGCUUAAAGUGUCCGUAGCCGGUUUAGUAAGUUCCUGGUAAAAUCGGGUAGCUUAACUAUCUAUAUGCUAGGAAUACUGCUAUACUAGAGGGCGGGAGAGGUCUGAGGUACUACAGGGGUAGGGGUGAAAUCUUAUAAUCCUUGUAGGACCACCAGUGGCGAAGGCGUCAGACUGGAACGCGCCUGACGGUGAGGGACGAAAGCCAGGGGAGCGAACCGGAUUAGAUACCCGGGUAGUCCUGGCCGUAAACGAUGCAUACUAGGUGAUGGCACGGCCAUGAGCCGUGUCAGUGCCGUAGGGAAACCGUUAAGUGUGCCGCCUGGGAAGUACGGUCGCAAGGCUAAAACUUAAAGGAAUUGGCGGGGGAGCACCACAAGGGGUGAAGCCUGCGGUUCAAUUGGAGUCAACGCCGGG